rnacentral:rRNA from 1 species
CCUACGGGGGGCAGCAGUGAGGAAUAUUGGUCAAUGGGCUUACGCCUGAACCAGCCAAGUCGCGUGAGGGAAGACUGCCCUAUGGGUUGUAAACCUCUUUUGUCAGGGAGCAACGCCGGCUACGUGUAGCCGGACUGAGAGUACCUGAAGAAAAAGCAUCGGCUAACUCCGUGCCAGCAGCCGCGGUAAUACGGAGGAUGCGAGCGUUAUCCGGAUUGAUUGGGUUUAAAGGGUGCGUAGGCGGAAUGCCAAGUCAGCGGUAAAAUCGCGGGGCUCAACCUCGCUCCGCCGUUGAAACUGGCGUUCUUGAGUGGGCGAGAAGUAUGCGGAAUGCGUGGUGUAGCGGUGAAAUGCAGAGAUAUCACGCAGAACUCCGAUUGCGAAGGCAGCAUACCGGCGCCCAACUGACGCUGAAGCACGAAAGCGUGGGUAUCGAACAGGAUUAGAUACCCUUGUAGUC